GUAGCAUUUAAACCAUUGUUCACGAUUAGGAAAUCUCCUGUAUUUCCGGCACCUGAACCAAGUGCGGAUUUUGAAGUGCUUUU
rnacentral:tRNA from 1 species